UACAGAGGCCUCAAGCGUUAUCCGGAAUCACUGGGCGUAAAGGGUGUGUAGGCGGCGAUAUUAGUCUUUCGUGAAAGACCUUGGGCUUAACCCAGGGGACGCGGGGGAAACGGUAUUGCUACGAGGAUGCGAGAGGUAGAGGGAACUCAUGGUGUAGGGGUGAAAUCCGUUGAUAUCAUGGGGAACACCAAAUGCGAAGGCACUCUACUGGCGCACUCCUGACGCUGAAACACGAAAGCGUGGGAAUCGA
rnacentral:rRNA from 1 species